rnacentral:rRNA from 1 species
GUGCAGCCGCCGCGGUAAUACGGAGGGUGCGAGCGUUAAUCGGAAUUACUGGGCGUAAAGCGCAUGCAGGUGGUUCAUUAAGUCAGAUGUGAAUGCCCGGAGCUCAACCUCGGAACUGCAUUUGAAACUGGUGAACUAGAGUACUGUAGAGGGGGGUAGGAUUUCAGGUGUAGCGGUGAAAUGCGUAGAGAUCUGAAGGAAUACCAGUGGCGAAGGCGGCCCCCUGGACAGAUACUGACACUGAGGAGCGAAAGCGUGGGGAGCAAACAGGAUUAGAUA